rnacentral:rRNA from 1 species
GAUGAACGCUAGCGACAGGCCUAACACAUGCAAGUCGAGGGGCAGCACAAGGAGCAAUCUGAGGUGGCGACCGGCGCACGGGUGAGUAACACGUAUGCAACCUGCCUGUAAGCGGGGAAUAACCCGUUGAAAGACGGACUAAUACCGCAUAAUACUAAAUUACUGCAUGGUAAUUUAUUUAAACAUUUAUGGCUUACAGAUGGGCAUGCGCAUGAUUAGCUAGUUGGAGAGGUAACGGCUCCCCAAGGCAACGAUCAUUAGGGGUUCUGAGAGGAAGGUCCCCCACACUGGUACUGAGACACGGACCAGACUCCUACGGGAGGCAGCAGUGAGGAAUAUUGGUCAAUGGACGAGAGUCUGAACCAGCCAAGUCGCGUGCAGGAAGAAUGUCCUAUGGAUUGUAAACUGCUUUUGCAGGGGAAUAAAGUGAGCCACGUGUGGUUUUUGUAUGUACUCUGCGAAUAAGGAUCGGCUAACUCCGUGCC